CUGAGGAGUGGUUCUCCUGGGGAGCCACAGACGCCUCAGGGCACACAGCUCUCGCACGAUGGACGCCCUGCUUGUCCACGCGAGAGGCAGAGAAACUCCACGUGACCCCUGCUCUCUGGACCUGGCCACUGCGGUGAAUGUUCCCAGCUGAGUUCCAGAACUUGCAGAGAGCAGAUCGGAUCCAGCCCAAGAGAACCGGAAGGGGGUGGGCUGUCCUUUAUCCCGUGUUCCCUCAGCCUGAUGGGCGGUAGCUGGGGUGCAACCCCCACCCCCACCCCGACGCCCAGGGUGGCCGUGGAUUCAGGCAAGGCCCCACCGCUGUGGCCGCGGCUUGUCUCGCUCCCUCCCUCACCCCAGAUGGUGUGGCUGAUGCUGUCCCUCUGUGUCACGGCUGCUGAGCAAGGUGCACAUUUUCUGAAUAUAAGAAGCGUCUGGAGGUCAAGAUCUGGACCCCAGACUCCUCAGAGGUCUGGAUCCAGGCUUUACACUCACACCCGUGCUGCCCACUGACCUUCCUGGGACCCCGCGGCCCCUCAGAAUGACGACGGUCUGGAUCUGGGCGAGACUUCCCACAGCCGGCCAGUCCACCCGAAUCCCCUGGAGCCAUCUGAGAGCG
rnacentral:lncRNA from 1 species